rnacentral:tRNA from 1 species
GCGAAAGUGGCGGAACUGGUAGACGCGCUGGAUUUAGGUUCCAGUGGGGAACCCCGUGAGAGUUCGAGUCUCUCCUUUCGCACCA